rnacentral:lncRNA from 1 species
AUGGCGCCUACAGGGUCCUCUGUGGAGGAGCCUGUACAGCCUCCAGAAAACCAGAACCAAGCUGGUGGAGAAGGUGGUCCAGAUUCUUUGUCUUUUGAAGUUGGGGUGGCCCCUGAUGAUUGGGCAAUCACACUCACUGGGUCUACAGUCCCUAUGGUUUUUCAUGGUGUUGUGCAAGCAUUCUGGGAGGAAGAGGAAGAGGGGGAGGAAGCCUGGCCUGAGGUUGAGGAGUACAGAAAUGUACACCUAGAUGAUGAGGAGGUAGAGGAGGAGAUAGAGGAUUUGGAAGGGGAAUACAAGGGAGAAAAUGGUGAGGAGGAAGAAAAUGUUGAGACAGUGAAUGAAGAGGACAGCCAGGAGGAGCAGGUAAACGAAAGCAAUGUGGGAGAGGAGGAGACCUUCAGGAAGGAAGAGGAUGAUCAAGAAGUUUUCAGCAUCCCAAGGGAUGAAGAAGCCCAAGAAGUUGGCCCCAACAAGAAGAAGGAGGGCGAAAGCAGUUCCUCAGAAGAAGGACCUGAAAAUGAUCAAGAUAAGGCAUAAAGAAGUCCCUAGAAUCCAG